GUUUUGGAGUGCAGGCGUGAAUAGUCCUUUCUGUCCUGCUUUGAGUACUGCUGUUGGGUGCCUUGGGGGGACCUUAAGGGAGCUCGGAAGUUGAGACGUGGUGAGUGCGAGAUCACUGCCCACAAAGGGGAGGAGCAGGCGGAUGAACAGCCAGAGCUGCAAUGGUGGAUCCUCCUCCAGGGCUGCAUGGGACGACAGAUAGAUGAGGCUCUAGGACGGGCACAAAUGCUACCCGAAUGCAAACCACUCCGGAGAUCUGUAAAAGGACUGGCCCCGGACAGGAAGCACACUUUAAACUAGAGGCGGGAGUCAAAGCCCCGGUGAAGAUUCUGUGACGGUUCAUUGUAUAAUUUAUGAUGAUGAAGAUUGAGUUGCAUUUUGCGGAAAAGAGAUGUUGAGAUAUCUAAGGCAUUGAGAAAUCUGUCAUGCAGACAUGCACACAGGGAGAGGGAGUACCCAAACUGAUGAGAACUUACAGGAAUUGGACCAUCUAAGCCCUUAGAAAGUGAAGUCCACUGUGUCUCAAACAAAGGAUGGCAAGUGUUCAUGACAUCAAUACUACCCAAGGCUUCAGAGUCAUUGGAUUGCAGGUGUCUCUAUGGUUUCAAUUCAGCACUAUUCCAUCCAUCUUUUGGCAGAGUCAGAGCCCCGGUGAAGAUUCUGUGAGAGUUCAUUGUAUUGAAUUUAUGAUGAUGAAGAUUGAGUUGCAUUUUGCGGAAAAGAGAUGUUGAGAUACCUAAGGCAUUGAGAAAUCUGUCAUGCAGACAUGCACACAGGGAGAGGGAGUACCCAAAAUGAUGAGAAGUUACAGGAAUUGGACCAUCUAAGCCCUUAGAAAGUGAAGUCCACUGUGUCUCAAACAAAGGAUGGCAAGUGUUCAUGACAUCAAUACUACCCAAGGCUUCAGAGUCAUUGGAUUGCAG
rnacentral:lncRNA from 1 species